GGCUUCAGGACAGAAGCCUGUUUGUCACGUCAAAUUUGAGUUAUCCUCCACUUUCACGCUUUUAAUUUGGGCAUUUAGCUGGUGCACUGCUGAACUGUAGCGAUUUUAAAGUCUGGUCGUCCUCCGAGGAGGAGCUGUGCAUCAGUUUAUUGGAAAUGGGUCGAGGCCGGCGUAGUGUUAGAGUCGGUGGAUUAACUAACAAACGAGAUACACCCGUGAAACCAGCACUGAGCAGGAGAAACGCGACGAGAAGAUUUCUACCCAGCAAGCAUUAUGAAGCAAUUCCAGAAGAAGGUGGGACAGAUGACACUGUGAAACUAAGCAACCCAGCGUGGGCCGACGUUCUGCCUCUCCAUUGCAAAUCUGUGGCGCGCUUGAGCAUCCCUGCCUUCACCAUGAACCUCAAACGCAAUGUUUCCUCGGCCGCUGCAUCGGCUACCAAACCAUCUCAAGUGUCACAGUCGGGUCACCCACACACUCAGGUGACUGAUGAUGAAAUGCAGAGUAGAGAAGAUGAGGAAAGAAGCGUCACAUCUCCUAGCAUGGAGCCAGACACGACUUUUAACUCUGAUGAUGAUAAGGACUCCUUCGGGUCUUCCAGCAGCCUUCCCUCCCCAGAGAUUUUCAGAAAAGAAA